rnacentral:lncRNA from 1 species
UGCCCGUGUCUGUUGUGACGUUUUUGAUUUUAACGAACGCAACCUAUGUAUUACUGGUAAAUUAUUAAACCAGGGAUAUCGUUACCAUAAAUUACUUAAAACCUUUACUAGAUUUUUCCAUAGAUAUAAAGAUUUGGUUUUGAAGUUUGGUUGUACCUGUAGAAAACGUAUUUCAAACGGGAUAGCACAUCCUCAUUUUUACGGAAAUGUUGGUAACCGUGCCCGG